UUCACACCUCGCCUUUCAUGGAAAUAAAUUGUUCGUUAUUAAUAAGAGCUGCAGUGGCUUUAAGGAAUAAUGUUUCAUGAAAAGCAAGCUAGGGUCCUCAUGUUUUGUUCUUCCACUAAAUAUUUUAGUUUCGCAGUACCCCUUCCCCUCUUAAGAACCCUUAGAGGUAUGUAAGGAUGACCGAGCAUUAUUCAACAAUUUGGCAAAACGUUGAAGAGGGGUACCCUAAGAUGGACAACGUCCACCUAUAACGUUUUGAAGCCACCAUACUUAAUCGUUUUGCUCCGCCCAUGAGAAAUAGGCCUACUGUGCGCUUUCAAUGUCUGUGAUAUUUAGCUACCACAUUGCUCACUUUCCAAAGGGAAUUUCCAAGAUGCACUCGAGGAUCUAUACCACUUAAAGGAAAUAACAGAUAAAAAUCCCAGAGUUUUACAAAAACGUGGUCUUGACCAUGACAUGUUAAGAGCAAGAGCACAACUCCUCAAAGGAGAAGCCGAGCACGGUAAAAAUGACUUUAGGAAAGCGUUAAGUUGCUACACUGAAGGGAUUGAAUUAAAGUGCAAAGAUGACACACUGAACGCCAAGCUUUACUACAAAAGGGCGCAGUUGCAUCAUUAUCAUCUGGGUUAGUUUACAUGAUUGUUUGAUUUCUGUUCUAUUUUACUGAGUUCAAAUAUGUAAGUUCAAAAUGUAAAAAAUAUCCGUAUAUCGUCCAUUUUAAUUGCUAUACAUUUCUUCAAUUUCUAUUGCUGUUAAUUUGCUAAUACAUCAUUUAAUAAUUUCGUUGUUCCCAUCACCUGCCUCCUUGAAUAUAUAUAAAUACUGUAAUAAGAAAUUAGAUUUUCAUCACACCUUUCGACUGAAGAGGCGAUAGUAAAAUAUUUCACACCUCGCCUUUCAUGGAAAUAAAUUGUUCGUUAUUAAUAAGAGCUGCAGUGGCUUUAAGAGCAGCUUCGCCUAAAUAUCAACUAGACAUGGAAAUAGCGAAAAAAUCGAAUUUCUUCAAAC